rnacentral:rRNA from 1 species
UACGUAGGGGGGCAAGCGUUGUCCGGAAUCAUUGGGCGUAAAGCGCGUGUAGGCGGUUCGGUAAGUCGGCUGUGAAAGUCCAGGGCUCAACCCUGGGAUGCCGGUCGAUACUGCCGGACUAGAGUUCGGAAGAGGCGAGUGGAAUUCCCGGUGUAGCGGUGAAAUGCGCAGAUAUCGGGAGGAACACCAAUGGCGAAGGCAGCUCGCUGGGACGUUACUGACGCUGAGACGCGAAAGCGUGGGGAGCAAACAGG